AUUCGCAUGUGUUUCAUAACACAAUAAUUCUAAACCCUGUAAAGGGUUUCACAGGCUCUCCUACUCAACUCCUAUUCCGUCACGUCCUCGUCGUGCAACGUGGUAACCUGUUCCACUGUAACCUGUUCCAAGCUUAGGUAAACGGGGUAGUUCCAACCCCUCGAGCAGAUGGUGAAGCAUGGCUGAAGUAGAUAGGU
rnacentral:ribozyme from 1 species